GGUGCGGGAGGUGAUUCUAUUCACUCACCGUCUCACAUCUGCAUCCAACCACUCGCUCUCAUCCCCUUCCUCCACUUCACUCCCCUUGCUUCUCUCCUUGCAGUUCCCCUGAAACAUAUGCCUAGAUCCACGCUGCUGCUCAAAUCGAUAAGCGAUACGAGAUGAAGAAGAGCACAUCUAGCUACGAUUGAUCUUUACGGCAGCCCGAGCUCUUCCCUUUGAUUCGCCGCUUUUGAUAACUCAAGGCCAGCUAAAUCAUUCGCCAACGCCCGGUUCUUAUCAGAAGAUUUCAACAUGGACCCUGUGGACCUUCCUUCCAAAGUCAUCCUCGAUGCUAUGUUUGACAAGGUCGGCCUUCCAACAGCCGCAUACUCUGCACGUGCAGUUCAUCGCGGGUGCCUUGAAGUCACUGUCGCCUUUCAUCCAAUUGCCAGUGAACUGGAGCGUCCUGUUAGUCAGACAUAUAUUUCAACCUCUGCUUUCACUGAUCUGGAAGAAGUGCAGAAUCAUGUUGCGCGUAAAGCCAUGGAAUUCAUGGAGCAGGAACACAGUGUGGUCCCAGGUAAUUAUAACUAUGGCAAACUUCAGUCUGCUAGGCUUAACAACGAGUCACUGCGUGAGCGUCUGAAAGAAAAGGACCGCAAUAUCGAAAUACUGAAAAAGAUCAAUACAUCUCUAGCGCAGCAAAUGGAAGAGAAGAGCAACACUCUUGACUCCAUUAUGAAGAUAAACAAAGACAUGAUGGAGAAGGUGGCUGAAAAAGAUGUUGCCAUUGAAUCCAUCAAAAAUGUCAAUCAAACACUACUGAAGCAGCUUGGUGAGAAACAAGUGAUAAUAAAAAAACUCAUCAAAGGCUGGGAUAACUCACUGGAUACUGGAUUUUCAGCAACCAUCCAACUUCAGUGCCUGAUUGAUGAGGGCAUGUCCCCUGGAUCAACGCAGGCAGACAUUGAGCUCAAUGCGACUCUCCAGAGUGCUCAGCACAUAUGUGAGUACCUUGAGCAGAACACCAUCCUUGCUGUUGAGUACCUGCAGUCCAUUGGGACAUAUCCAUAUGACCCAAAGCCAGGCUUUACUGAUGAGGAAGACAACUGUUCAGUGGACCCCGAACCCGUGCCACCAGAGAAUCCACCCUACAUGAGAAGUUGGCUGGAUGAUGAGGAGAUCUUUGACAGUGAAGGUAAUUGCUCUGCAGACUUCGACACUUUGGCCGAGGAGCACUUCUGAUACAACAUCGCCAACUUGCCAACGCAAUCCUCUUGAGGAUCGCUUGGUGGUAUCAACUUACUAUCUUCCACUGCGUGGUCUCUGCAUCUUACAUCUGCGCUACGACCGUUGCUCUCCAAUGCCACUAAAGGCACCUAACCCAAUGCACAUGCAACCCACAAGCCACAAGGACGAUGGGGCGGCCCAUCAAAAGGGGCCCAACCAGCUAGUCCAGCCGCCGCCAUGGAUGAACCCCCCUCUGCAUUGACAACCUCGCCCGUCAAGCUGCCCACAAAUGAUGAGCUGUUGGUCAAGGGCUUUCCUCCGCAAUCACCUAUCUAUGUCACCAUCAGCAAGCAGUUCAUUCUUGAACAAGCAAUUGAGAGAAUUGGUGGCACAAUCCAUCCAUUCACUUUCACCGACAUAGGCAGUGACGAUGUGGGCAUCUCUGUCUCUAUUGACCUGCCCCCGCACAGCAAAAGCCUAUCAAGCACAACAAAGGAAUUCCAUGGACCAUCCAUUGAAUCUAUGUGUGUUGCCGCCCUUGGAUACCUUCAGAAAACAGGUAUAGUCACGGUAGAUGAUGCAAAUUUUGCGGAGCUGAAAAAAUGCAAAAGAAAACUUCAGGCUGAGGAGUUCUGGUCGUCGGCGCUCUACGAUCAGGCCAGCGCCCUGCGUGACCAACUCUCUUCGCUGACCGCAAUCAACCAGGGUCCCCAACCUUCUACGCAAAAGAAUACUCCACGGGCCAGUUACCAAAUCAUGUUGUCCGAGGAUACCAGUGAAGAAGAAAGUGCAUCAACCCCGGUCACAACAAAUACUAAUAGCAUCGAUCGUCUACCUUCUAAAAGUAACAAGAUGAGAACCGCACGCCGAACACUAUUCCCUGGAAAAUAGAGCAGCCCACACGCCAUUGCAGACUCCCAUCAUCACAGCAACAUGAUGGAAUAAGUCAUUCUCCGAGUCUACGUUGCAUUGAACCUUGCCAGAUUCAGGACCCGUCGCUUUUGUCAUACACGCAGCUUGAUCUCACAGCUGCAUGGAACUAUCUAAAAAUGCAUGGAACCCUCUGUUAUGCUACUCCACUUAGAUGCAAAUUACAUGCUUUUGUACCUCCCCACGUCUUCCUGUCAUGUAAUGGACAUAUUAUGAUCAUAUCAUAUAUCUAUCUACGUUGAACGAAGGCAGUUUACAUUCACGUUUUAUUGCCCCUGAACAAUGA